rnacentral:lncRNA from 1 species
UUCCAGCAAUAGCUUUGCCUCUUUCUAGCUCCAGCAUUGUCCCAAUAAAUCCACUGUCAUCACAUACUUGGUUACCAGUCUCUACUUCAGAUCCAUGGCUUGCAACCAUAUCAGUACUGAUUUGAAUCCUCUGUAUACUUUCAAGUGGCUGAACAGAACUCACAGACUCUUUAGGUAAAGUAUUUGCAUCCAAUACUGCACUCAUCAGUGUAUCUGUUGUGAUACCAGGCUGGACAGAUUGCACUGGCAUGUUAGGCAAUGUGGUAGAGG